rnacentral:tRNA from 1 species
CGGGGUGUAGCGCAAUUGGUAGCGCGCUCGUUUUGGGUGCGAGAAGUUGCAGGUUCGAGUCCUGUCACCCCGA